rnacentral:lncRNA from 1 species
CAACAAUAUACUAUAUACAAAAAAUCUCCUUCCUAGUUUGCAUCUUAUCUCUAAUUCGGAUCACAUUCGAAUUAGGCAAGAGAUAAUAUUAUGACUCAUCAGCUAUAGCUGACCACUCUUAUUGGACCUUCUCUUAUGUUGUCAGAAUUUACAAUCCAAAUCUAAUUAGGCAUGGAGAAAUUGGCAUGGAUCUAGAUGUGGCACAAAAGAUAAGGAUAGAGUCCUAGUCUGACUUGGACGCUUCAUUUCUAAUUCAAUUCUAAUCCAAAUCAAAUUUGAAUUAAAAUCAUUAAUAAAAUUAAAUCUAAUCUAAUUAAAAAUCUAAAUAUCUCAUCAAAUUCUUUAUCCAAUUAGGAAUUAAUCGAGUCCAAACCCU